rnacentral:rRNA from 1 species
GGGUCAGUAGGUUGGUCGUGCCACCGGUACGUACUGGUCUCACUGAUUCCUCCUUCCUGAAGAACCGUAAUGCCAUUAAUUUGGUGUUGCGGGGAAACAGGACUGUUACUUUGAAACAAUUAGAGCGUUUAAAGCAAGCUAACGCUUGAAUACAUUAGCAUGGAAUAAUGAAAUAGGACGAUCGAUCCUAUUUUGUUGGUUUCUAGGAUUGACGUA